UACGUAGGGGGCUAGCGUUGUUCGGAAUUACUGGGCGUAAAGGGCUCGUAGGCGGCCGACUCAGUCGGACGUGAAAUCCCUCGGCUUAACCGGGGAACUGCGUCCGAUACUAGCCGGCUUGAGUGUGGGAGAGGGAUGCGGAAUUCCAGGUGUAGCGGUGAAAUGCGUAGAUAUCUGGAGGAACACCGGUGGCGAAGGCGGCAUCCUGGACCACGACUGACGCUGAGGAGCGAAAGCCAGGGGAGCAAACGGG
rnacentral:rRNA from 1 species